rnacentral:rRNA from 1 species
UGAUCAUGGCUCAGAACGUACGCUGGCGGCACGCCUAACACAUGCAAGUCGAACGAAGUAGCAAUACUUAGUGGCAGACGGGUGAGUAACAUGUAGGUAUCUGCCCUUUGGCCUGGAAUAACACGAGGAAACUUGUGCUAAUACCGGAUAAGUCUUUACGGAGAAAGCUUUAUGCACCAUUGGAUGAGCCUGCACUUGAUUAGUUUGUUGGUGGGGUAAUGGCCUACCAAGACUGUGAUCAAUAGCUGAUUUGAGAGGAUGAUCAGCCACAUUGGGACUGAGACACGGCCCAAACUCCUACGGGAGGCAGCAGUGGGGAAUCUUGCACAAUGGAGGAAACUCUGAUGCAGCGAUGCCGCGUGAGUGAAGAAGGCCCUUGGGUUGUAAAGCUCUUUCGUCGGGGAAGAAAAUGACUGUACCCGAAUAAGAAGGUCCGGCUAACUUCGUGCCAGCAGCCGCGGUAAUACGAAGGGACCUAGCGUAGUUCGGAAUUACUGGGCUUAAAGAGUUCGUAGGUGGUUGAAAAAGUUAGUGGUGAAAUCCCAGAGCUUAACUCUGGAACUGC